AAUAGAUACCCGGGUAGUCCACGCUGUAAACGAUGAGAACUAGAUGUUGGUAGGCAUAGACCUAUUAGUAUCGAAGCUAACGCGAUAAGUUCUCCGCCUGGGGAGUACGGUCGCAAGAUUAAAACUCAAAGGAAUUGACGGGGGCCCGCACAAGCGGUGGAGCAUGUGGUUUAAUUCGACGCAACGCGAAGAACCUUACCUACCCUUGACAUCCUACGAAGGUGGCAGAGAUGCUACUGUGCCGAAAGGAACGUAGAGACAGGUGCUGCAUGGCUGUCGUCAGCUCGUGUUGUGAGAUGUUGGGUUAAGUCCCGUAACGAGCGCAACCCUUAUCCUUAGUUACCAGCGCGUGAUGGCGGGGACUCUAAGGAGACUGCUGGUGAAGAACCGGAGGAAGGCGGGGACGGACGUCAAGUCAUCAUGGCCUUUAUGGGGUAGGGGCUACACACGUGCUACAAUGGGGCGUACAGAGGGAAGCCAACUCGCGAGAGGGAGCCGAUCCCAGAAAACCGCCUCGUAGUCCGGAUUGGAGU
rnacentral:rRNA from 1 species